rnacentral:rRNA from 1 species
UAGAGCAAAUCUCAAAAAGACCGUCCCAGUUCGGAUCGCAGGCUGCAACCCGCCUGCGUGAAGUUGGAAUCGCUAGUAAUCGCGGAUCAGCAUGCCGCGGUGAAUACGUUCCCGGGCCUUGUACACACCGCCCGUCACACCAUGAGAGUCGGGAACACCCGAAGUCCGUAGCCUAACCGCAAGGAGGGCGCGGCCGAAGGUGGGUUCGAUAAUUGGGGUGAAGUCGUAACAAGGUAGC